rnacentral:ncRNA from 2 species
AUUUGCAAAAGCAUAAAUGGUGCACUCGUUCUUUAAUAAAGAAACAGUCUGAAAAGGGAAUGCCGUGCCUCGCCAACCGUAGCUUAUAGCGGAGGUGGGAAGUCGGCAACAGUACCCGCUGCUGUGAUCGCUAAUAUAUUUUUUGAAAUUCUUUUAGUCACUGUCCCGAGUCCUCAGGAUGGGAAGGCUUUCAAAAAAGGCGUAAGUCAGAAGACCUGCCAUUGAUGCAUUAAUAAA